rnacentral:rRNA from 1 species
UUUUAGGUUUUUUUGGCGAGGAGGGACCUGAGAAACGGCUACCACAUCCAAGGAAGCAGCAGGCCGCGCAAAUUACCCAUUCCCAAACGGGAAGGUAUUGACAAUAAAUACUGAAUCCGGGCUUCUUUCGGUUCUGGUAAUUGGAUUGAGUCCAAUCUAAAUCCCUUACCGAGGACCAAUUGGAGGGCAAUUCUGGUGCCGGCAGCCGCGGUAUUUCCAGCUCCAUUAGCGUAUAUAAAAGUGGUGGCAGUUAAAAAGCUGGUAGUUGAUCCUUGGUUCUGGCUGGCCGGUCCGCCUCACGCCGAGUACUGGUCCGGCUGGACCUUUCCUUCUGGGGAAUUCCAUGGCCUUCACUGGCUGUGGGGGGAACCAGGACUUUUACUGUGAAAAAAUUAGAGUGUUCAAAGCAGGCCUUUGCUCGAAUACAUUAGCAUGGAAUAAUAGAAUAGGACGUGCGGUUCUAUUUUGUUGGUUUCUAGGGCCGCCGUAAUGAUUAAUAGGGAUAGUCGGGGGCGUCAGUAUUCAGCUGUCAGAGGUGAAAUUAUGGAAUUACCUAGCCG